GUGGGUCUUGUACGUGUGCGUGAAUACUUAUUGAAGCUAUUCAAAUUCCAAAUGAAAUAAAGCCUAAGCUAAAGCCUACACGUGGGAGUAAAAUUCUCUAAAUCAAACAACAUAUUGAGACUAAGUUUCAAUGUUCAUUCGACUUGGUAUUUGAGAGAUUCUUCCUUAAACUAUGUUGACCGAUUAUAAGGUGAGAGGUUAGAGCUUUAUGUGGGUUAUUUAAUUAUUUUCAAAUCAUUACUUGAGUUAGUAGAGGGCCACGACAUGGUUAGUGAGGUGUGGUAUAGUUAAGUUCUAGGCUUAUAAAUAGAUCCAUAUUUCUUUUUUUUUUCCUCACUCAAAGAAGCCAAACCUCUCAAACAUUCUCCCUCUCGUUCCUGUCAUUCCAAAAUCUUGUUCUUCCAUUUUCUUGUGCUCAUUUGUUUCAUCUAUAGCCAAAAUCUUACCCCACAAACAUCAUAUCAUCAUACACUACCUCAACCCAUAACUAUACACAACCAUAAUCAUCUCAUAUAUAUAUAUAUAUCUUUCAUCAUAUUGGCGUCACCAUCACUAUCAUUUUACAUUCAAGUUUUAGUGCUCAACUAGAUCUCAUAAGGUUUCAUAAGAAAAUUAUUGUUUCUCAAGGAUCACUCUUAUUGCAAUCAAGGCUAGGACUCCACAUUCGAGACCAAGGUAACUGAAAGUUUAGAAAGCCGGUGGCGAGUGGAACUUUGGAUGCUUGUGUGUGUGAACUCGCUGAGGGCCAUAUAACUGCGGGCGGUCUAGGGCGCUCUGUUUAUUUAUUUACGUUAUUAAACUUAUGUCGCAAUUAUUUUAGUUAUUAAUUAUUAUGUUUUAUUUUUACGAAAACUGGCCAGUUGUGAACAUUUUCAAGUAUUAAAUAAAAAUACGACAUUAUGAUUUUCCGCGUUUAAA